rnacentral:rRNA from 1 species
AUGUUCAUCCCCUACCCCGAUCCAGAUCGGGAUUCCGAUCCAAAUCGACACCGUCCUCCCCUCCUCGCGCCAGAGAGAAGAGGAGGUGCGACCUCGACGCCGGGGGCUACUGCUGCUCCGGCUGGGCUACCCAGACCGCGCAUUACUCUAUACCGAGCAGGUCAUCCGGGAGUGGCCCGAGGAGCUGCGGGAAGCGACGGCGGGAACCUGCCAGAGCUGCAGGAGGCACGCUCCCUCUUCGCCGCCAAGUUCAACGCGCACCGGGAGUGGCCCGAGGAGCUGCGGGACGAGGCGGCAGGGCUCGUCUAUGCGGCCACCCGGUGCGGCGACCUGCCGGAGCUGAAGAGGCUCGCACCCUCCUCGCCGCCAAGUUCGAUGUGGAACGGGAGUGGCCCGAGGAGCUGCGUGAGACGGCGGCGGGGCUCGCCGCUCAUCUACGCCGGAGCUGUAGGAGGCCCGCGCCCACCUCGCCGCCAAGUUCGGCAGGGGGUUCGCUCCGCCGUUGCCGAGCUGCGACGCCGAGGUCGGGAUGCACGCCGCGCCUCGGGCCCAGCCUCUGGCGCCCUUGCUCGACAUCCGCAAUAG